rnacentral:rRNA from 1 species
AUACGGAGGGUCCGAGCGUUAUCCGGAAUCAUUGGGUUUAAAGGGUCCGUAGGCGGGAAUCUAAGUCAGUGGUGAAAUCUUGCAGCUCAACUGUAAAAUUGCCAUUGAUACUGGAUUUCUUGAAUUAGUGUGAAGUGGUUAGAAUGUGUAGUGUAGCGGUGAAAUGCAUAGAUAUUACACAGAAUACCAAUUGCGAAGGCAGAUCACUAACACUAUACUGACGCUAAUGGACGAAAGCGUGGGGAGCGAACAGGAUUAGAAACCCGAGUAGUCC